GCCAUACCGCGUGGGUGAAGAAGGCUUCGGGUUGUAAAGCCCUUUUGUUGGGAAAGAAAUCCAGCCGGCUAAUACCUGGUUGGGAUGACGGUACCCAAAGAAUAAGCACCGGCUAACUUCGUGCCAGCAGCCGCGGUAAUACGAAGGGUGCAAGCGUUACUCGGAAUUACUGGGCGUAAAGCGUGCGUAGGUGGUCGUUUAAGUCUGUUGUGAAAGCCCUGGGCUCAACCUGGGAACUGCAGUGGAAACUGGACGACUAGAGUGUGGUAGAGGGUAGCGGAAUUCCUGGUGUAGCAGUGAAAUGCGUAGAGAUCAGGAGGAACAUCCAUGGCGAAGGCAGCUACCUGGACCAACACUGACACUGAGGCACGAAAGCGUGGGGAGCAAACAGGAUUAGAUACCCUGGUAGUCCACGCCCUAAACGAUGCGAACUGGAUGUUGGGUGCAAUUUGGCACGCAGUAUCGAA
rnacentral:rRNA from 1 species